AUUGCCCUAGUAACGGCGAGUGAAGCGGCAACAGCUCAAAUUUGAAAUCUGGCCUCACGGUCCGAGUUGUAAUUUGUAGAGGAUGCUUUUGGUGCGGUGCCUUCCGAGUUCCCUGGAACGGGACGCCUUAGAGGGUGAGAGCCCCGUACGGUUGGACGCCUAGCCUUUGUAAAGCUCCUUCGACGAGUCGAGUAGUUUGGGAAUGCUGCUCUAAAUGGGAGGUAAAUUUCUUCUAAAGCUAAAUACCGGCCAGAGACCGAUAGCGCACAAGUAGAGUGAUCGAAAGAUGAAAAGCACUUUGAAAAGAGGGUUAAAUAGCACGUGAAAUUGUUGAAAGGGAAGCGCUUAUGACCAGACUUUUUCCUGGCGGAUCAUCCGGUGUUCUCACCGGUGCACUUCGCCUGGUUUAGGCCAGCAUCGGUUCUCGUAGGGGGAUAAAAGCUUCGGGAAUGUGGCCCCCUCCGGGGGGUGUUAUAACCCGUUGUAUAAUACCUUUAUGGGGACCGAGGUUCGCGCUUCUGCAAGGAUGCUGGCAUAAUGGUCAUUAGCGACCCGUCUUGAAACACGGACCAAGGAGUCGAACAUUUGUGCGAGUGUUUGGGUGUUAAACCCUCACGCGUAAUGAAAGUGAACGGAGGUGAGAGCCUUAGGGUGCAUCAUCGACCGAUCCUGAUGUCUUCGGAUGGAUUUGAGUAAGAGCAUAACUGUUCGGACCCGAAAGAUGGUGAACUAUGCGUGGAUAGGGUGAAGCCAGAGGAAACUCUGGUGGAGGCUCGCAGCGGUUCUGACGUGCAAAUCGAUCGUCAAAUCUGCGCAUGGGGGCGAAAGACUAAUCGAACCAUUAAACCAGCGGUAAAUUUAAUUUACUAGGUGGUUAAGAGGUGGCCCGAAAGGGCUUGGAGAAAAACCUAGACAGACGGAUCUAGCAUGGCAACCUGUGUUUACCCUGUGGCCAUGUAGUGAAGUUUGAUCGACACCGCUCAAUUGCGGGGACAUCCUUGUAGAAGGUUGCUAGCUACCGUGGUGCGCUGAAAAGCGUAUCCGCACCGAGAAUAGCGCUCUUGGGUAUGGUAAUAACGCUAGCAACUGGGACGACCUGCAGCCAACCCCGUAGUAGGGGAGAGUUCACAGACUAAACAGCGGUGGGUCUACAGCAUCUGUAGGCUUAAGAUAUAGUCGNCCGGGUGCCUGAAAAGGCGUCUAGCUAGA
rnacentral:rRNA from 1 species